GGGAAGUGAUGUUUAAAGACUUAUUCCAUUUCCGAAGCAAGUUGUGGAGUAAAACAUAGUGAUCCC